rnacentral:pre_miRNA from 1 species
GGGGGGAGCGCCGGAUCUUGAGCUGUGUCUCCUGGCAUCCUGGGCUCCCGGGGCCUGUGCUGUUGGAUUCGCGCUCCCGGCCCUGCAGCCCCUU